CAAUCGAGGUUGGUCUUGGAUCCAGGACACCACCAUCUGUAGCAGCUGUACAGGGGGAGUCAACUCCUCUAUACACACCAAACACACACCAAGAGGUAUUUAGAGAUGUUUACAUGACAUAGCCUAGUAACAGCUGUACAGGGGGAGUCAACUCCUCUAUACACACCAAGAGGUAUUUAGAGAUGUUGACAUGACAUAGCCUAGUAACAGCUGUACAGGGGGAGUCAACUCCUCUAUACACACCAAGAGGUAUUUAGAGAUGUUGACAUGACAUAGCCUAGUAACAGCAGUACAGGAGGAGUCAACUCCUCUAUACACACCAAACACACACCAAGAGGUAUUUAGAGAUGUUUACAUGACAUAGCCUAGUAACAGCUGUACAGGGGGAGUCAACUCCUCUACACACACCAAGAGGUAUUUAGAGAUGUUUACAUGACAUAGCCUAGUAACAGCUGUACAGGGGGAGUCAACUCCUCUACACACACCAAGAGGUAUUUAGAGAUGUUUACAUGACAUAGCCUAGUAACAGCUGUACAGGGGGAGUCAACUCCUCUACACACACCAAGAGGUAUUUAGAGAUGUUUACAUGACAUAGCCUAGUAACAGCAGUACAGGAGGAGUCAACUCCUCUAUACACACCAAGAGGUAUUUAGAGAUGUUUACAUGACAUAGCCUAGUAACAGCAGUACAGGAGGAGUCAACUCCUCUAUACACACCAAGAGGUAUUUAGAGAUGUUUACAUGACAUAGCCUAGUAACAGCUGUACAGGAGGAGUCAACUCCUCUAUACACACCAAGAGGUAUUUAGAGAUGUUUACAUGACAUAGCCUAGUAACAGCUGUACAGGGGGAGUCAACUCCUCUAUACACACCAAACACACGCCUGAUAGUAGAUUGACAGGCUAGUGAUUUAGCUGUUCGUUACUCAUCUUGUUGGCUGAUAGUAGAUUGACAGGCUAGUGAUUUAGCUGUUCGUUACUCAUCUUGUUGGCUAGUGAUUUAGCUGUUCGUUACUCAUCUUGUUGGCUGAUAGUAGAUUGACAGGCUAGUGAUUUAGCUGUUCGUUACUCAUCUUGUUGGCUGAUAGUAGAUUGACAGGCUAGUGAUUUAGCUGUUCGUUACUCAUCUUGUUGGCUGAUAGUAGAUUGACAGGCUAGUGAUUUAGCUGUUCGUUACUCAUCUUGUUGGCUAGUGAUUUAGCUGUUCGUUACUCAUCUUGUUGGCUGAUAGUAGAUUGACAGGCUAGUGAUUUAGCUGUUCGUUACUCAUCUUGUUGGCUGAUAGUAGACUGACAGGCUAGUGAUUUAGCUGUUCGUUACUCAUCUUGUUGACUAGUGAUUUAGCUGUUCGUUACUCAUCUUGUUGGCUGAUAGUAGAUUGACAGGCUAGUGAUUUAGCUGUUCGUUACUCAUCUUGUUGGCUGAUAGUAGAUUGACAGGCUAGUGAUUUAG